UACGUAGGGUGCAAGCGUUAAUCGGAAUUACUGGGCGUAAAGCGUGCGCAGGCGGUUUUGUAAGGUUGGUGUGAAAUCUCCCGGCUCAACUGGGAGGGUGCGCCGAAUACUGAAUGACUCGAGUGCGGGAGAGGAAAGUGGAAUUCCUGGUGUAGCGGUGAAAUGCGUAGAUAUCAGGAGGAACACCGGUGGCGAAGGCGGAUCUCUGGGCCUUACCUGACGCUGAGGCGCGAAAGCUAGGGGAGCGAACAGG
rnacentral:rRNA from 1 species